rnacentral:rRNA from 1 species
GAUGAACGCUGACAGAAUGCUUAACACAUGCAAGUCGACUUGAAGCAACUUCGGUUGUGGAAAGUGGCGGACGGGUGAGUAACGCGUAAAGAACUUGCCCUUCAGUCUGGGACAACUAUUGGAAACGAUGGCUAAUACCGGAUAUUAUGGAACUCUCGCAUGGGAGGAUCAUGAAAGCUAUAUGCGCUGAAGGAGAGCUUUGCGUUCCAUUAGCUAGUUGGUGAGGUAACGGCUCACCAAGGCGACGAUGGAUAGCCGGCCUGAGAGGGUGAUCGGCCACAAGGGGACUGAGACACGGCCCUUACUCCUACGGGAGGCAGCAGUGGGGAAUAUUGGACAAUGGACCAAAAGUCUGAUCCAGCAAUUCUGUGUGCACGAUGAAGGUUUUCGGAUCGUAAAGUGCUUUCAGUUGGGAAGAAGAAAGUGACGAUACCAACAGAAGAAGCGACGGCUAAAUACGUGCCAGCAGCCGCGGUAAUACGUAUGUCGCAAGCGUUAUCCGGAUUUAUUGGGCGUAAAGCGCGUCUAGGCGGGUUCAUAAGUCUGAUGUUAAAAUGCGGGGCUCAACUCCGUAUUGCGUUGGAAACUGUGAACCUAGAGUAUCAGAGAGGUGGGCGGAACUACAAGUGUAGAGGUGAAAUUCGUAGAUAUUUGUAGGAAUGCCGAUGGAGAAGUCAGCUCACUGGAUGAAUACUGACGCUAAAGCGCGAAAGCGUGGGUAGCAAACAGG